UCCUCCCUUCACACACACACAGAGAUAUGGCUUCGAAGAGUGUUCUGAUUUUUAGUACCAUAGUGGUUGCGUUGCUCCUCAUUUUCUCUAACACUGGCGUUGCUGUUCGAGAUGUACAAGCAUUUAAGCAUGUUCAGAAAUCAGGGAGAGUUGGUUAUUCUAGAGGGAUUAAAGCAAGCAAUGAAGAGAGCCCACCCUACAGCUACGGUGGUCACGGAUCUAAAAUCGGGGCACCCGACUACCCUUAACUUCUAUGCGUAGUCCUCUAGGGCCCAAGAAUAAAGAUGUAAAUCUCAAUUAUCUUGCAAUUCUACAUGAUAAUUAUAUAGAUCAUGAAUGACUACCGGCUCGGAUGUUUGAGCAGCAC